AAACCACCUGUAACUCUGGCCAGGCAUCCACGCUGACACAGCACAGUCCUACAAAACCACCUGUAACUCAGGCCAGGCGUCCACGCUGACACAGCACAGCCCUACAAAACCACCCACAACUCAGGCCAGGCACCCACGCUGACACAGCACAGUCCUACGAAACCACCCGUAACUCAGGCCAGGCGUCCACGCUGACACAGCACAGUCCUACAAAACCACCCACAACUCAGGCCAGGCACCCACGCUGACACAGCACAGCCCUACAAAACCACCCGUAACUCAGGCCAGGCGUCCACGCUGACACAGUACAGUCCUACAAAACCACCCGUAACUCAGGCCAGGCGUCCACGCUGACACAGCACAGUCCUACAAAACCACCCACAACUCAGGCCAGGCACCCACGCUGACACAGCACAGCCCUACAAAACCACCCACAACUCAGGCCAGGCGUCCACGCUGACACAGCGCAGUCCUACGAAACCACCCGUAACUCAGGCCAGGCGUCCACGCUGACACAGCACAGUCCUAGGAAACCACCCGUAACUCAGGCCAGGCGUCCACGCUGACAGCAUAGUCCUACGAAACCACCUGUAACUCAGGCCAGGCGUCCACGCUGACACAGCGCAAUCCUACAAAACCACCCGUAAUUCAGGCUAGGCGUCCACGCUGACACAGCUGUACCAUCCCGUCAGUUGUCA
rnacentral:lncRNA from 1 species